rnacentral:tRNA from 1 species
GCCUGGGUGGCUCAGUGGGUUAAGCGGCUGACUUCGGCUCAGGUCAUGAUCUCGCGGUCUGUGGGUUCGAGCCCCGCGUCGGGCU